GCUGGAUCCGUGGCUGCGCGGGUUCCCAAGCUCGCGGUGAUUGUGUGCUGGGAGCUCUGCCUAGUGCCAGCGGGUUCUGCUUUAUCCCUUUCAUCUCGCUGCACUCAGAUCCCAUGACAUCAUUCAGCGCCCCGGGACUGUCCAUGACACAUGACAUUUCUGAGGCCUGGAACACUCUUGCAUGGGCUAAAGGAAGUUUUCCUAUUUUAUAAUGGAAGUUUGCCAACUUUUAGAAGGUUCCGUGUCAGCCCCCUGGAGCAGGGGGCGCAAUCUGCGCCAGAGGGAGGAGCUCACUGCUGCACUGCACAGCACAGAAGCUGAAGGAGCUUCAGUUGUUCGUAUCAAAGAAUGGAGGAGGCUUCCCGAGAUUCUUGAGAGCAGGUCUCAUGUAGCCCCCCAAAUGCCACUGACUGCUAUUUUCUUUCCAACACAUGAAACAUGUUUCCCUUGUUUCCUUACCUCAACAAGCAAUUCACAUAAUUUCUACAAUUUAUAUGGAUAUAGGUUCAUGUAAUCCAUAAUAUUUUUUCCAUCAAGUGUCAAAGUUCUUGGAGUUACCUAGAACUCUCUUCUAAUGCUGUCUCCUCUAAACUUUCUGUUCAGAGGAUACAUCCUGGAUUAUGUCAGAUAACACAGCUUUGUAUACAUAAAUUGGGAAGAAUGAUUUUAGAAUGUGUUUCAUUUACAUGCUUGUGUAUGUGUUAAGAAGCUAGAUGUUAUGGGCACUGGAGUCAGAAAGGCCUGGGGUUAAGUCUCUCUCUUAUUAUCUGUGAUUCAGUAACUGUUUGGACAAUUUGGGCAAGAUACUUAAUCUCACUGAGCUUAAUUUUCCUUAACUGUAGGAAAGGGACAUCUGCUUCCCUGGAGGUGAGACGGUGAGCUUACGCAGAGGCCAUCAAGCCCCCACACUCCUGGGUUGAAAUUGAAGAGACCAUUUGUUCUCCCAUGUUCACUGCAGCCUUAUUCAUAAUAGUCAAGACAUGGAAAUAAUCUAAGUGUCUAUCAGAUGAGUGGAUAAAGGAAAUAGGCUCUGUCCAAUAUACAAUGGAAUAUUAUUCAGCCGUAAAAAAGAAGGAAGUCCUGACAUUUGUGACAACAUGGAUGAACCUGGAAGAUAGUGAAAUAAGCCAGACACAGAGAGACAGAUAUUGCAUGAUCUCACUUAUAUGUGAAAUCUAAAACAAAACACUAAACUCAUAGUAAGAGAGAGGAGAAUGGUGGUUACCAGAGGCUGGGGUGUGAGGGGAAAGGGGAGAUGGAAGAAAGAAUGGUGGUGGCUGGGGCUUGGGGGGAUGGGUCAGGGGGAGUUAGUGUUUAAUGGGUACAGAUUUUCAGUCUUGCAAGAUAUAAAGAGUUCUGGAGAUGGACAAUAUAAAUGUGCUUAAUAUGACUGAAGUGUACACUUAAAAUGGUUAAGAGGGUAAAUUUAAUAUUAUGUGUAUUUACCACAAUAAAAACAAUUCAGAAAAUAAAAAGAGCAUCACGCAGAAAAAUCUUUCCACAGAAAAGCUAGGUUCUCUUGCCUUUCUCUGAGAAUUAAAGAGCAAUCGUGAAACACCAGCAUUUGUUUGGGUGAUGAAACUCAAAUCUGAGUUGGGCUCAAUAUUCCCAAGGGGCAGGGAAGACUAUCACACAGCUCCUGGUCCCAUUAAUCUGAAGCCAAGGUGACUGGGUGACUGUCCUGAGGCCAGUUUUACAUUAUCUGGUUACCCUCUACGUGACUUAAAAAAUAAAUGGUUCAAACCUGUUAUUGUUCCAACCCAGUUUCAUAUUGUGAAAUUCUAACUAACCCCCACUGCCUUGCAAUGUGACCUUGCCUGGAGACAGAGCCUUUACAGAGGUGACCAAGUUAAAAUGAGGUCAUUAGGAUGGACGUUAAUCCAGUAUGACUGGUGUCCUUAUAAAAAGGGGAAAUUUGGACACAGACACCCACAGGGGGAAGGUGAUGUGAAGGCUUGGGGCAAAGACGGUCAGCUACAAGCCAAGGGGAGAGGCCCGAGGCAGAUUCUUCCCUCAGGGGCCUCAGAAGGAACCAGCCCUGACAAACCUUGAUUUCAGACUUCCGGCCUUCAGACUGAGGCUAUCACUUCGUGCUGUUUAAGCCCCUCAAUCUAUAAUACUUUGUUACAGCAUCCCUGAGAAACCAAUACAGAGCCUUAUCCAUACCGAAGACUUGCAUUCUUCUCAGUCUGCUUCCUGAAGAUCCCUCAGCUCCUGUGAACACCUUCUGCCUGGCUGGACUGUUUGUCUUUGUGGGCAGAAGUUUCCUUCCUUCUCCAAAGUGCUAGUUCAGGGCACUGUUGAGCGAAGCAGAGUAUUACUGAACUUAAAGAGAGGGAUUAAAGCACAAUUUUUUGUUAUUAUAAAUAAAACUGCCAUGACCACUGGUCUACAAGGCUUUGAGUGGAUAUACAUUUUCGUUCUCCUAGGUAAAUACCUAGUAGACUUUUUGUGUUAUGUGAUAUAUGUUUAACUUUACAAGAAAAAAAUGCCAAACUGUUUUCCAGAAUGGUUGUAUGAUUUCACACUCCUGUCAGCAAUAUAUGAGAUUUCCCUUUGCUUGUCUAUCCUUGAUGACACUUGAUAUUGUCAGUCUUUGUAAUUUUAGCCAUUCAGAUGGAGUCUAGAGGCACCUCAGGAUGGUUUUAAUUUACAUUUUGCUGAUGUCAGUGCUUAAUUUUUUAUACAUAUACAUUUCAUUUUUUAGGAUAAUUUUACAUUGACAGAAAAAUUAGGUAGUUAUUACAGAGAUUUCCCAUAUACCCUCUGUGCCCUGUACACAGUUUCCCCUAUUAUUAGCAUCUUUUAUCAGUGUGGUAUAUUUGUAAUAAUCAAUGAACCAAUAUUAAUAUAUAAUUCUUAAUUGAAGUACUUAGUUUACAUUAAAAGUACACUUUUUUGUCGUGCAGUUCUAUGGUUUUUGACAAAUGCAUAAUAUGUAUCUGCCAUUAUAGUAUCAUACAGAAUAGUUUCAUUGCCCUAAGAAUCCUCUGUACUCCACCUAUUCAUCCUUCCAUUUCUUGCCCCUGAGCCCCUUUACUUCUGAUCCCUUUAGAAGUCUCCAUAGUUUUGCUUUGGAGCAAAAUAUCACAAAAUAGGAAUCAUACAGUAUCAUACAGUAUGUAGUCUUUUCAGAUUGUCUACUUUCACUUAGUCAUAUUUAUUUAAACUCCUCCAUUCUUUUUCAUGAACUGAUAGCUCAUUUCUUUUUAUUGCUGAGUAAUGUUCCAUUAUCAGCAUAAAUAUGUUUCACAUAUUUUGCUAUUUAUACCUAAGUAAUUUUUUGUUGUUUAUGUGAAAGAUACUGUUUUCUCAAUUACAAAUUCCAAUUGUUCAUCACUAAUCUAUAGAAAUACAAUAGAUUCUUGUGUACUAAUGUUUUAUUCUGUCACCUUCCUAGAUUUAGAUUCAUUUACUAGUUCUGGGAAUUUUUUUAAAGGUUCUUUGGGAUUUUCUGAAUGAAUAAUGAUGCUAUCUACAAACUGAGAUUGUUUUAUUAUUUCUUCAAUCGAUUUGUCUUUUAUUUCUUUUUCUUGCCUUACUGAACCAGCUCAGUCUUCCAUGAGGAUGCUGAAGGAGUGAUGAGACAAAAUUUCCUUGCCUUUGUCUUGAUCUCAAGGAGAAAAUUCAGUUUUUCACCACUAGUAAAUUGUAGCUGUAGAGUUUUUUUGUAGAUGCUCUUUAUCAAAUUGAGAAGGGUCCCAUUUAUUCCUAAU